rnacentral:misc_RNA from 1 species
AUCUGAAGGUUAUGGAAUUGUGAGUUAUCUCCCUUACACUCCAGCCGGUGAGUUAAUUAAAUCGCCGCCGUGACAUGUGCUUCUUCUUCAAACAACAUCACUUAAUUAGAGGUUUACGUUGAGCAUGGCUGGACACUUCCGACGUAAAAUCGCAUCUAAAUUGUUCCAGUCUUUUAGUCAGUCAGGCUUGCUGCCGAAAUCACAAGAAACCAAUUCUAUAGAGAAAUUAGCUUCGUUGGUCAAAGUGAAGAAAAUAUCAAAACAUCAUACUCUUGAAUCUGGUCAGUUCUUGGUUAAUUCUCAACACCUGAAUAACUUUCUGAAGGACGAUUCUGAUCCCAACCAUAAAUUGGCUGAGCAAGUAAAAGACUGCUUAUUUCAGGAUACGUCUUUUAAAGAACUCGGAAUCACCUUCAAUGGUAAAUUCUUCAAUUUCACAUUUGAUCCAACCAAUAUUACAGAGGUGAUAUUGUCCAGUGUAUAUAAGGAGGGUAGUAAGUAUGGCUUUACCAGUCAUCUUCAUCAGACAAACGACCAAACAGAGAAGCAGACAGUCGUGAUAGAAUACAGCUCUCCAAAUAUUGCCAAACCGUUCCAUGUGGGUCACCUGAGAUCAACAAUUAUUGGAAAUUUCUUCAGCAAUCUCUAUGAACAACUUGGAUACAAUGUGAUACGUUUGAACUACCUUGGUGACUGGGGUACCCAGUUUGGUCUCCUGGCUGCUGGCUACCAUCAAUAUGGCUGUGAAACGAAACUCCUUGCUGACCCACUCCAUCAUUUGUUUGAGGUGUAUGUGAAAGUAAACAAAGAUGCUGCCCAAGAAAUUGAUACAAAACGUGUUGAAGAACCCCAGAGUCUGUAUAAUCGAAGUCGGGAAAUCUUCCAAAAAAUGGAGAAAGGAGAAGAAACAAGCCUGGAUCUUUGGAAACGAUUUCGAGACUUAAGCAUCAAAGAAUAUCAGAAAAUAUACAAGAGACUCGGUAUCUCCUUCACUGAGAUUCACUCUGAAUCGAUGUAUUCUGAAUCAGCCAAUCAGCUACUGCAACACCUGCGACACACUGGUUUGUUACAGAUCAAUGAGGAAGAAGGAAGAACCGAGUUCAUUGAGAUUCCUGACCGAAACCGAAAUUCCAAAGUUACAAUGUGCAAAAGUGAUGGAACUACUCUCUACCUGACACGUGAUGUUGCUGCUGCUCUCCACAGGAAGAAGGAAUAUAAUUUUAACAAAAUACACUAUGUGGUUGACAACCGACAGAACCGACAUUUCCAAAACCUUCAAGCUGUUUUAAAGACAAUUGGAGAAGAUUGGGCUACCAGUCUUGAAAGUGAUUUUCAUAUUGGAUUUGGCCGAAUUAUAGGGAUGAAUACAAGAAAGGGUAAAGUUAUUUUCCUGAAAGACCUUCUUGAUGAAGCUCAGCAACAAAUGUUGUCAAAACGAAAGGAAACUUCCUCAUCAAAACAUGUAGCUGAUGAAAUGGCUGUAGCAGACACACUUGGCAUCAGUUCAAUUUUGGUACAGGACCUGAAAGAAAGAAGGAACUUUGAUUAUACAUUCAGCUGGAAGAAAUGUCUCAACUUCAAAGCCGAUUCCGGAGUUUUCUUACAAUAUGCUCAUGCAAGACUUUGUAGCUUGAAGCAAAACUGUGCCAUACCUUUGACCCAUUCUGUUGAUGCAGCCCUACUAAAGGACCCUGCUGCCUUGCGACUUGUUCUCCACAUUUCAAGAUAUGAUGAAGUCAUAUUAAACUCAUUUCUUUCCUUCGAGCCAUUCCAUGUCGUACAAUACCUCUUCCAGUUGGCUCAUCUAAGUAAUCAAUCUCUUCAUUCGUUAGUCGUCAAAGGUCAAGUACAAGAUGUUGCCCAGGCACGUCUUCUGCUGUUUCAUUCAGCCCAACAGAUUCUUUCAAGUGGGCUCAGACUGAUUGGUGUCCAACCUCUGCAGUCCAUGUAAGCAACAUUACCAUUGCCAUCUUCAGCUGCUUGAGUGAUGAGAAAAAUCUGAGACUUUUGGAAAUGUUCAUACUCACAAGCAAAACCAUUAUGAAGAUAUGUCUAUGUUUUGAUAUUUGUGGGAGGUUUGCCCAUUCAGUGAAGCUGAGUUUAUUUAAACCAGUAGACCACACAGGGCAAUAAAAAAAAAUGCAAAUCAACAAAGGGAGCCUCUUAAAAAUCUCUUUAUAUCUACAAGGGUGUGCUGAAAA